GAUGAACGCUGGCGGCGCGCCUAACACAUGCAAGUCGAACGGCACCCCUCUCCGGAGGGAAGCGAGUGGCGAACGGCUGAGUAACACGUGGAGAACCUGCCCCCUCCCCCGGGAUAGCCGCCCGAAAGGACGGGUAAUACCGGGUACCCCGGGGUGCCGCAUGGCACCCCGGCUAAAGCCCCGACGGGAGGGGAUGGCUCCGCGGCCCAUCAGGUAGACGGCGGGGUGACGGCCCACCGUGCCGACAACGGGUAGCCGGGUUGAGAGACCGACCGGCCAGAUUGGGACUGAGACACGGCCCAGACUCCUACGGGAGGCAGCAGUGGGGAAUCUUGCGCAAUGGGGGGAACCCUGACGCAGCGACGCCGCGUGCGGGACGGAGGCCUUCGGGUCGUAAACCGCUUUCAGCAGGGAAGAGUCAAGACUGUACCUGCAGAAGAAGCCC
rnacentral:rRNA from 1 species